rnacentral:lncRNA from 1 species
CUCUCUCUCUCUGUACUUACUUACUUAAUUUAUUUAUGUAUUUAUUUUACUAAAUUAAGGGGAUAUAUAACUGAAUAAGCUCUCAUGAUGCCUCCCUUUUAAUGCAGGAGGGACAAAUAAUUUAAAAAGUAAACAAGAAAAUAGCAGGUGGUGAUAAAUGCAGAACAAUGACAAUAAUCAGUGUGAUGUCUUAGAGAGCCCCUAGGGGCCAUUUUUGGCAGGGUGGUCAAAAAAGGCUUCUCCAAAAAGGGGAUUUCAGCUGAAGCUUUCAUGAUAAGAAGGAGCAUGCCUUCUGAGCACCUGGGCUUACCAGGUACAAAGGGCAGCUAGUGCGAAAUGCCUGUGGUAGGAACAAGCUUUGGCAAAUACAAGGAAUUAGAAGAAGGUAAAUGUACCAGAAGCACAGUCGUUAAGGUGGACAGUAAGGAAUGGAAUAUGAGACAGUCAGACAAAUCCUAAGAAGGCAGGGCCUUCAUAGGCCAGGCGAAGAGUUCAGAUUGUACUUUAAGUGUUACAGGAAGCCAUUGGAGGGUUUCAAGCAGGGGAGUGACAUGACCUGACUCACAUUUUAAAAUAAUUACUUUGGCCUCUCUUUGGAGAACAGAAUGUAAGGGAUAAAUGUGGAAGCAGGAAGGCCAAGUAGGAGGUGAGUACAGUAUUUUACACGAGACACGAUAAAAUCUGGACUGUGGUUGUAGCAGUGGAGAUAGAAAAAUGUAAAAGAAAAAAGAAUUAAGACACAUUUUUGAGGCAAUACUAAUAUUCUACCUUACAAUCUACCGCCUCCUUACUCUGCCAAAUCUCACACAUACAGCAUGCAUUCAUUUAUGCUGUCCAUUAACGAUAGUUUAUUGUACACUAACUAUGUGCCAGAUGUAGAGCCAGGUCAUGGUAUCACACCAAAGGAUAGAAGUCAGCUCAGUCUCCAACAAAUAAUUUUGCUUAGUCAUCAAUACCAGACCUCAUCCUAAGUAACCAGUUCUGAAUAAGAUAUUAUUUUAUAUUAAAGUUUCACCAAGAAGGCAUUUAAAAAAUGCAAUAUUAAAAUUGAAAGCCAGAAGAAUUCUACCUGUUAGUUUAAUUUUUCUGCUUAUAAUAAGCAAUAAUUCCACAUAAUUCUAUUAGCUAGUUUCAUGUCAUUAAUAUCCUCUCACCCAUCUUCACAGUUAAUUGGAAGAUCAACUAGAAGAGCUUCUUCAAAUGCCUGCUAGAAGAAUUGAUUCUAUUUUCAGUUUUCCUGACCUGCUAUGCUGGAGAGAUUGAAUGAGAUACUCAAGUACCUUCCUUUUUAGACUGGAAUCUUUAAUACAUGGUACUAUCACCCAUAGUGAUGCCUCAUUUUUUUAGGUGACUCUCUGCCCCCUUUUUUUAGGUGACUCUUUUCAGCACCUAAUCUUGGUUCUGGUAAGUAGGUUGAGAAGCUAAUCCUUCAGUCCUAAAUUGAAUUUGCAAAUUGUCAACGAGAAGCACAGUGUUCUUCAAACAAAAACAGACAAUACUAGGCUUAGGGUUUUUUAAAAAAAACUUCAAGUCAGGUAUAAUAUAACAACCUUUCCAGAUAUUAGAAAGGCUGUCUCAAAUUUCUUUAUAAGCUCUUUGAAGAAUUAGCAAUGACCAUUUCCUUUCCAUUUUAUAAGCUAAACCUUUUCACUUUCUAUUUUCUUUUUUUUAAUGUGUUUUACAAGAGUCCUUUCUAUUAUUUUCCGCUUUCAUCAUCUAUAAUAUGAUGCUUUCUUGACUUACAAUUAUCCAAUUUCCUGUGGUUAAUAUGGACAAAAUUCUGGAAAUUGUGCACGUUAUUGACUUGUAGCACUCAGUGAAGAGAGCAAACCAACUGUACCACCUGGCCAAUAUGCAACUCCCCUGUCCUCUGCCCUGACACUUUAGUGCAGCCCUAGCCAGGACAGGCCCCAGCCCGAGUCCUCAGUAGUUACCCAAGGCUUUUCUGGGAAUCCAUUGGAUAAAUGUGUAUCAUUGGUUUUUCUCUGGCUUCCCUAUAUAAUUGAUAAACAUAGUAGUGUUAUUUCUAAUACACCAUUUACAGAAAAAUAAUUGCAAUAUUUUAGGCUGUGUGAUAUAAAAGCAUAUUAUUGACAAUUGACUAAAUGGUGUAUUUGUGUCUUGUUCUAUUAAAAAAUUAAGAGUAGGUUCUUAGUUAGAAAAGUAGUCCCCUAUGACUUUGAGUCUCAAAUGUAUUAUUUAACUGGUAGAGCAACUGAAAAUCAUAACAUAAGAUAUGAUGAAAUAUUCGGAUAUCAAAUUUAAAUUAAUUUAGUACUGAUUGAGAUCCUAUUUUCUCAUUCUCUACAUAAUGAGAAUAGAGAAGGUUUAAGAAAAAAUGGGGGUUAAGUUUUAGUGGAGAGAAUUUCAGUAAUUAAUUUAAUUUUCUCCCUAAAAAUUUGGAAAAGACUAUUGUCAUUAAGUGUUAAUACUGAAGUAGUGAUGCUCUAUGGUCUCAAAUGGGAACAGAGCUCCAAAUUCAUGAUCCUGUUACAACAUUGUUUAUAUGCCGAAAUCAAUUUAAUUUAUAUCGUUUACAUUCAGGGGCUGUUAAGCUGCCACAAUGCUGAGAAUUGCCUGUAGUAAAAUGUCUGUAGCAUGAGAGAGCCACAUUUAAGGAAAGAAAUCAGUUUUACUACAUACAUCAUGCUCUGUCCUAAUGAAUUUCAAACACAUUGAGGAAUUGGACUAGAUGCCCUCAGUAGUCCCUUUUAGCCCUGAAAUUUUGUGAUUUCAUAUUAAAUGUCUUUGGUCACCGGAUAACUUUGUAUAUUGAAAAAUGUUGCACAUUUUGAUAAGCCCAGGGUGCAAGAGCUCUUUCUGUAAGCAGCCUUAGAGAAUUGUUGUUGGAUUCUUCGGAAAAGUAAGUCUCUAGAAAAAUCUAAUGUCUGAAAAUAAAAGCAGAUUAGAGAGUGGUGAGCAGCAGAAAUUUACACACCAGAAUGCUAAGAAAACAUUGCAGAAAAGUUCUUUUUAAUCUUCUGAUAAUUGCAAAGCAAGUAGGUCACUAGUUGAGAUAGAAACAUCUUUUUCAAAGCUUCCUUUUCCAGCCAGGAAAAUGUAGAAAUGUGUCAGGGAUCAAAUAUAUUUGCAGAAUAUUUACUAUGGAAACUUGUAGACUUUAAAAUUGAUAUUUUAAAAUGCAACUGCAAUAACAGGUACUUUAUAAUCAUUCAAAUGAAUUAUGAACAUGUUUCUAAGCAGAGGCCCUGCCAGGCCUGAUUUUUAUGGGUACUGGGACCCUCAAUUAUUGCUGCAGAAAAAACUUGGCAUUGGUGUCUGAAAGACUUGGUUUUGGAUUUGGGCAUUUUGCUACUUAACUAGCUAUGCAAGUUACUAGCUUAGGCACGUUAACUUAAGUUUUCUGUGACUUUACCGACUGUAAUAAUAUAAUAGCUACCGCAUAGUUGAGGAUGAAAGAAAUAAUAUGUGAGAAAAUACUUAAAUACAAGUUUCCUUUCUCUUUCCUCUCAUCUGCCAUCACUGCUUCUCACCAAUGGCCACACUCAGGAGAAAACACAGGCACUAGUGCCCUUCGAAAGAAUUUGUACUCUUACCAUCCUUUUAUAUUUUUUUGUUGACUCCUCUAAUGUACAGCAAGUGAGUACCAUAUCAAAUAAAAGAAAAUUAAGUUAGUAAAAUUCUGAAUUAACAUUA